rnacentral:lncRNA from 1 species
AACAAGGCAAACCAUUGUGGGGAAGAGAGGGCCAGCCUAUGUUAUUAGGCCUGCAAACUAAAAACCACUAGUUGUUUGCUGCUCUGAAAUCCAUCAGAAAUGCAGGAUCUACUAGUGCAAAUUUUGUUUUGGCAUAAACUGCUUACCCUUCAAUUCAUUUCUCGCGGUAAGUUUUCUCUUUCUUUCUGCUAAUAUUAUCUCUCUUACUUUCUAGAUGGACAAUGUGAACUAGCUAUGAUCAACCUGCUCUAUUUCCUUAAUCAAUACAGAAGUUCCAAUCUUAAUGAAGCAAAAAAGACUCCGAACAAGUGAUUCUUUAUAUGCAAAAAGAUAAGGGAAUAUGUGGAUCGCCUCCUAUUACCUACACAAGAGUGAGACUCAAAUUUAAAGUUUAUUGGGGUGAAUUAUAUAAUGCCUAAUAUUGUUAAGACAUUGCUGGGACAUUCGAAACUUAGGAGCACUUAGGAGCACAAGCAGCGGAAAAAGAGAUCAUAUGGACGGUAGGAAUCAUCAAGUGUUUGAAGGAAAGGAGAGUCAUGUCCUAGUAAAAAUGGUUGUCUUCUUCGUUGUUGAAUUUAGUGUACGUGUGGUGGUAUUCACAAUAAGUAAAUGAUUGGGAUUUGAUUUGUAGAUAUGAAUUCCUAUACGAAUGUUU